rnacentral:rRNA from 1 species
UUCCGGUUGAUCCUGCCAGAGGUCACUGCUAUCGGUGUACGAUUAAGCCAUGCGAGUCGAGAGGUGUAAGACCUCGGCAGACUGCUCAGUAACACGUGGAUAACCUGCCCAAGGGUCCGGGAUAACCCCGGGAAACUGGGGAUAAUACCGGAUGGGUCACCAGUGCUGGAAUGCUUGGUGGUCGAAAGGUGACGCCUUUGGAUGGGUCUGCGGCGGAUUAGGUUGACGCCGGUGUAACGUACCGGCGUGCCUGUAAUCCGUACGGGUUGUGGGAGCAAGAGCCCGGAGAUGGAUUCUGAGACACGAAUCCAGGCCCUACGGGGCGCAGCAGGCGCGAAAACUCUACAAUGCAGGCAACUGCGAUAGGGGGACAUCGAGUGGCAUCCACCUUGGGUGUCUGUCCAACCGUGUAAAAAACGGU